CUUCUUCUUACUCUUUUGGCCGAGAACAAUUAAAAGAGUUGAAGCUGUUCAUCGUGCUGCUGAUGGAAGCGCUUUUGAUAAAUGUGAGGAAUGUGGAGUUAUGAUCGCGGUUGCUCUGUUUGAUAUGCACGAGUACGGAGAGAAGCGAAGUGAAGUGAAGAGAUUCAAGUGCGUUUCGAGUGGCAAGUACGAGGAAGUCUCAGCGAGCUUUGUUUUGUGUUAUCCUUUUUCAUCAUCGAGCUUUGUCUCGUGGAGUACGAGAUGCUGGAGUAUACUCCGUCUAAGCUAGCAGCCUCGGCGAUCUAUACUGCUCGGUGUACACUUAAUGGAUUUGUUGAGGAAUGGAACAAAACAUGUGAGUUUCACACAGGCUACAAGGAAGAAGAGCUACUGGCGUGCGCGAGGAAGAUGGUUGGUUUCCAUCAAAAGGCAGGAACAGGGAAGCUAACAGGAGUUCACAGGAAGUACAACACCUCAAAGUUCUCUUAUGCUACAAGAACUGAACCAGCUGGGUUUCUACG